UCUGGAGGUCUGCACAUGAGGAUCAAUUCCUGAUCAGCAAGCAUCACGACUCCAGGAAACGCUGGGAACCAUAUCCUCAGCACUAAUGAAACAUCACAAACCGUGCAGAAUCCAGCAAGGAGCAACCGCCACAUGUUCCUGAAUGAUUUGUAUGGAGUAUAUUUGGAAUUUUGUUCAAAUUGAAAAAUAAAAUUGCAAAAAUCAUCCACCGGCUUUCGAUGACUCGAUCAAUGAGAAUAAUGAUGUAAUUUUGAGGAAGGCUCGCGAUGGACUGAUGGUAACGACAAACACCGUGAAGACAAGUCGAAUCCCUCUGGGGCCUGAGGUGUUCCUGGUGGAGGGAAGAGAACCGGAGGAAAACCAUCCGGUUUUGGAAUUGCGAAACAAACGGGAACAUUCUGGGCGGAGGAAGUCUAAACAGAAGGUCAAAAAACCGGUACAAUUCCGGCAUUUCACCAAUAAUA